AACGAACGCUGGCGGCAUGCCUAACACAUGCAAGUCGAACGAGACCUUCGGGUCUAGUGGCGCACGGGUGCGUAACGCGUGGGAACCUGCCCUUAGGUUCGGAAUAACUCCCCGAAAGGGGUGCUAAUACCGGAUAAUGUCUUCGGACCAAAGAUUUAUCGCCUUUGGAUGGGCCCGCGUUGGAUUAGCUAGUUGGUAGGGUAAAAGCCUACCAAGGCGACGAUCCAUAGCUGGUCUGAGAGGAUGAUCAGCCACACUGGGACUGAGACACGGCCCAGACUCCUACGGGAGGCAGCAGUGGGGAAUAUUGGACAAGGGGCGAAAGCCUGAUCCAGCAAUGCCGCGUGAGUGAUGAAGGCCUUAGAGUUGGAAAGCUCUUUUACCCGGGAUGAUAAUGACGGUACCGGGAGAAGAAGCACCGGCUAACUCCGUG
rnacentral:rRNA from 1 species